rnacentral:rRNA from 1 species
UACGAAGGGGGCUAGCGUUGCUCGGAAUUACUGGGCGUAAAGGGCGCGUAGGCGGCACUGUUAGUCAGGCGUGAAAGUCCUGGGCUCAACCUGGGAACUGCGCUUGAUACGGCAGAGCUAGAGGAUGGAAGAGGCUCGCGGAAUUCCCAGUGUAGAGGUGAAAUUCGUAGAUAUUGGGAAGAACACCGGUGGCGAAGGCGGCGAGCUGGUCCAUUACUGACGCUGAGG